rnacentral:rRNA from 1 species
UACGGGGGGGGCAAGCGUUGUUCGGAAUUAUUGGGCGUAAAGAGCUCGUAGGUGGCGUGUCGCGUCUGCCGUGAAAGCCCAUGGCUUAACUGUGGGUCUGCGGUGGAUACGGGCAGGCUGGAGGCUGGUGGGGGCAAGCGGAAUUCCUGGUGUAGCGGUGAAAUGCGCAGAUAUCAGGAGGAACACCGGUGGCGAAGGCGGCUUGCUGGGCCAGUUCUGACGCUGAGGAGCGAAAGCGUGGGGAGCGAACGGG